GGAUUGUGGCUCAGUGGUGGAGCACUUGCCUAGCACGUGUGAGGCACUGGGUUCAAUUCUCAGCACCA
rnacentral:tRNA from 1 species